UCGCCCUUCUCUCUCUAAAAUCCUUUUCUUAUUUCUUUUUCCUCUCUUUUCUUCUCUCUCUUUCUUUUCUCAACUAUCAACUAUGGCGGUUGCCUUCGAAGGCUUCUCCAUCCGGGACUAUGUGUGGAGGAUGAGGAGUGUGGACGUGGUGAAAUGUUGGCCUUUCGAUGGGGAUGGGCACGGGGACGAGAGUGUUUUGCUCCCUCCGAUGGAGGUGCCCAAGUUCAGAUGGUGGUCCCAUGAGGUGGAGCUUCUGAGAUCCGCUGCUGCUCAACGGAAAUCAUCUCAUAUUCAUCAAGUUGAAUCCCAAAAGCCCGACAAAUCGACGGAGGAGCGGCGGCACAAUAAGGCCAAGGCCAGGCCGCCCAAAAAACGAUCCAUUCUUGAGAUUUUCGCAGUCGCUCCCCAGAUCGAUUCGUCGGCGGAUUUGGAGGUUGGUGAUGAUGAUGAUAAUGAUGAUGAUGAUGAUGAAGCUCAAGUUGAAGGUGAAGAUGGAGAUGUAGGUGUUAUUAAAGAAGGUGAGUUUGAUUCUCCCAAUGGUGUUGCUUUCAAAAUCAAGAGCAAGAAGAGCAAGAAUAAGAAUAAGAAAAAGAAGAAGAAGAAGAGAAGUAGCUUGGAAGAAGAGGUUGCGGUGGGAAUUGAGAGCAAGGUGAAUAAGAACAAGUCCAAGAAGAAGGCUAAGAAGGACGAGGAGUCAAUUGCAAGCAAGGAGAAAAUUCAAAAGCUCAAACUCCAAACUCCAGUCAAAUUUACUGAAAAAGCAAAUGGUUCACCAUCUCAUAAGAGGUGCACAAAGGACAUCCCCAGUGGUGUUUCUAUGGGUAAAAAGAAGCCAAGCCUGAAAUGCUUAUCUGCAAAAAAGGAGAAAGUUGUUCAAACUCCCAAAUUGAUUGCAGAACACCAGAAACCAGUGCUUCCUCUUCGCGGUAUCCUGAAGAAUCAGACAAAAGUUAGGUCUGGGCAGAACCCUACUACAUGCAACAUGCAGGGCUCUAGUCAAGUGAAUCCUUGUAUUCACCAAUCAGGGAGGCAUGUCACGUUCUCAGGUAAAGAUGACAUACUUGGACCCAGGAAGAAAUAUUUUUCUUCAGCUGACUGUCAUAAAUUGCAUAAUGUCUGUGACCUAUUAUCAGAUGUGGGUACUCCUUCAACAGUAAUGGAUCAGGACAUGGAAAAUGAAAAAGAAUUCGCUGUCGAGAUAAAUGAAAGUGGUGAUGAUGUUUCCCUUGGCAUUGAAAAAGGGAAUGAGGUUCAGCCUAUAAUUGAAAAGGAUCAGUUGCCUGAUAUCUGCGAUCAUGUUGAUAUACAAAGCUUCUUGAGGCCACAAACUAGUCAAGAGAAAGCAAAGCAUUUGUCAGACAAAUCUCUAUCCUCGAGCCAAUUUGCAUCAAAUGGUGUUAAUCUGCACAAAUCUCUAUCCUUGAGUCAAAUUGCACCAAAUGGUGUUGAUCUGCAUUUGUUUGAUCAAGGCAAUCCACCUGCAUCUAGUGACACUUCAUAUGCUGGUGUUCCUAGACUUCUUUCUUCUUCAAAAGAGCGUUGUAGUCCGAUUUUAAAUUCUCAAGUAGCAGGGAACUUGCUCAUGGCUUCCAACAACAGUGGAAAGUUGAUUGACCAUUUUGGAGAUCCUACACCCAGAAUUUCUGCAACAAGAUCAAUUGCAAAUGUGAGGGCACUUUCUCAUCCUUUGUCAUCUUGUGUUUCUGUAAAUGAAAAUGCAAAUGGGAGGCUUUCAUUUUUGCCACAAAGCAGCACAGAAAAUCACAAUACCCGUGCUCUUCAGUACCAACCCUUCUCUCACCUGUCCUCCAAGGAAUUGAUGGAUAGCUUAUCUUCCUUUCCAGGAUCCAAGCAUAGAGCACUUUUAUUUGGGGAAAAGUGCAUGGAUGAUGAUUUUUUCGGUUUGCCUCUCAAUUCUCAUGGUGAACUAAUCCGGUUGAACUCAAGUGGCAAAGAUGGGCUUAACCAUCUGAAGAAUCCAAGUACCUUAUCUGGUUCUUCCUGCAGCUUACCUUUUCGUCAUCAUGUCCUACCAAAAUGUAACGGGGACAAUUUAAGUGUGAAAGAGAAGCAUUUUGUUGAGACUUUGCUUCUAAAAGACCAAUUAAAAUUGUUUCCCGCCCAAAACUACAUUGAAGAGAACUUGGAUGUACGCUUCCCAUCUAGGUUAGGUAUCACUGGAUCACAAGUUGUUGGAAGAACAGAUGCCCAAUGGCUAGGUUCUGAGAGGGCAAACAACCACUAUGUCCCUCAGCUGGAUUCAGACCCUAACUUGAUGAAAGACACUUGCCAUGGAUGCAGACAAUCUGACCAGAUUCAGUACAAAAAGGACAAUGGAAAAAUUCAUCCACGGGAGCCUUCAGACCAGAUAUUGAUGCAUACCACACAACCAACAAUGCGAUUGAUGGGUAAAGAUGUUACAAUUGGUAGAAGUAGCAAAGAUAUGCAAGGAUUAGAGGAUGGGAAGAUCUGGACUGACAAGGAAAUAAUAACAGAGAAUUGUAUCACCAGUACUGCUCUUGCAAGCUCCUCAGCCAAGGCUUAUUUUCAACAGGACUGGAUGCUACAUGCAGCAUUGAGCAAAUCAAAAGAAUCUGUUGCUCACACAUUAGAAACGCGAAGGAAUCAAACGUCACAAAGGGUUUUACAGAUGAAAGCUCCAGAGUCUAGGUUUUCUCACCCAUAUCUCAAUUGGCAAACUAAUUUAGUGUCCCAAAGUCACAGUAAUCAAAGUUCCAGUUCUCUCUCUUUUGCUCCUCCUCCCCCCUCCCCUGCAAUGCUCAACAGGGCACCCAACUUCCAUGAGCCCUUUAUAUCUGGAAAUGAGUCUCUAAAGGUCAACUCUCAGAUACCAGUAUUGUCAUCUUCUCCUCAUAGUACCCGUCAGCACAUGCAUCUGAAUUCUGCUGAGCUAAGAUACAACCAGGGCCUUCAUGCUACAAAAUCGGCAUUUGAGUUUCCCUUCAUGCAUCCAGAUUAUAGAGAACAUGGCCAGCCAUCAUGGUUCCCGAAUCCCUCAAAGAGUCUGCCCCCAUGGUUGAUACAUGCAGCACAACAGAAAAAAACAUCUAUUGCCUCAUCUCAACCUUAUUCUGAUCUGGAUGGUAAACACCAUUCCUGCACUGUCUCUCAAACUAACUUUAUAUCUGUCCCUUCUGUGCAUCAAUCACCGGUGCUAUCUUAUCCUUACUGUCCCAUGAAAUCUCAAUCUCAAAUUCAGAGUUCCCUUGGUCACUCUUUUGUUCACUCUCCACUCAUUCCUGUCCUUCCUGGAUUUAAACAUACUUCUUCAAGCAAUGUGAACUACAGAAACAGAAUCAAGGUCAAAGACAGAAUGAAAUCAAAAAGCUUUUUUGUUAAAGAUUCUGACUAUAGCAAGAAUACAAAAAAGAGGCCAGCAGCUGAAGCAAAUGAAUCCCCAAAGCCUCCUAAGUUGAUGACCUUAGAAAUGAGAGAAGAAUCUACCACUGUGACAGGGUUGAACACAGUGGGAAACUAUAGCAGUGAAGAGCAACUUAACCCGGUUGCACUUGAACUCAAUUCAGACAGAGAUCAAGCAAGCAGUAUAGGAUGCACGCCAAGUGAGACUCAGAAGGAUGGGCUAGCAAAUUCUCCAGGGAUUGAUGCUGCCAAAUUGGAUGGUGUGACAAGAUCCGGUCCUGUUAAAUUAAGUGCAGGAGCGAAGCACAUCCUGAAACCCAGUCAAAAUAUGGAUCAUGAUAGCUCCAGGCCAACCCAUUCAACUAUUCCUUUUGCUGCGGUAACUGAUUCUGGCAGGGUUUCAGGACCUCAGAAAAAAACAGCAAAGAUUUACAGGUUUUAGGAGAAGGCAUGUUAGUCCAAGAUACAAGGCGGUUCAUUUCUUCAUUAGGGUGACCAAGUUCCAAGGGAUUAGUAUUAUCAAGUUCAGGACUUCGGGCUUUUGAUACUAGCUCCAAGACGUGGACCCCAGGCUUCAUUGCAACUGCCAAAGAUCUGUUGUUACAUUAAGGUUUCUACUUCUUUUUAAAUCAGCAUCAAAGUUUACGCAUGUCUAACAAUUGGUAUCAAAGUCUUGGUUGAAGAUGUCUAAAAGAGCCUUGAUUGAAAAAAUCUAGAAGAGCCUUGGUUGAAGAUUUGUGAAAAGCCUUGUUUGAAGAUUUCAGGAAAAGCAGAGAAAUGUAACACAAAAGUUUGCAAAAAAAAAAAAAAAAAGGUUAAAAAUGGAGUCAAUUGUUAUCUCAUUAGUGAUAAGAAGGGGAUUGUGGUACACAAGUCCAUGGUGCACGAAGGAAGCUAUGGCACAUGAUAAGAGCGAGAUGUAAAAAAGAAGUCAUGUAUCAUAGUGAGAUAAACGAUUGACUUAAUGAAA